rnacentral:rRNA from 1 species
CCCUUAGAUGUUCUGGGCCGCACGCGUGCUACACUGAGCGGGCCAACGGGUGAGGAUGUGCGAAAGCGCUUCCCAAUCUCUAAAUCCGCUCGUGCUGGGGAUCGAGGCUUGCAAUUAUCCCUCUUGAACGAGGAAUACCUUGUAAGCACGGGUCAUCAUCCCGUGCUGAAUACGUCCCUGCCCUUUGUACACACCGCCCGUCGCUACUACCGAUUGAACGUUUUAGUGAGGUACUCGGACUGAGCCUCAGAAGAUUCACGUCUUUUGUGCUGCUCGGGAAGAUUCCCAAACUUGUGCGUUUAGAGGAAGUAAAAGUCGUANCA